GCCAGACUCCUACGGGAGGCAGCAGUGGGGAAUAUUGCACAAUGGGCGAAAGCCUGAUGCAGCAACGCCGCGUGAAGGAAGACGGUUUUCGGAUUGUAAACUUCUGUUCUUAGUGAAGAAUAAUGACGGUAACUAAGGAGCAAGCCACGGCUAACUACGUGCCAGCAGCCGCGGUAAUACGUAGGAGGCAAGCGUUAUCCGGAAUGACUGGGCGUAAAGGGUGCGUAGGUGGUUUGACAAGUUGGUAGCGCAACUCCGGGGCUCAACCUCGGCACUACUACCAAAACUGUUGAACUUGAGUGCAGGAGGGGCAAAUGGAAUUCCUAGUGUAGCGGUGGAAUGCGUAGAUAUUAGGAGGAACACCAGUGGCGAAGGCGAUUUGCUGGACUGUAACUGACACUGAGGCACGAAAGCGUGGGGAGCAAACAGGAUUAGAUACCCGAGUAC
rnacentral:rRNA from 1 species